GAAAAAGUAACUCAGUUGGUAGAGUGCCGGUUUGUCAUGUCGGUGGUCGCGGGUUCAAAUCCCGUCUUUUUCG
rfam:Ectocarpus siliculosus strain Ec 32, whole genome shotgun sequence assembly, unassigned sequences LGTn